rnacentral:rRNA from 2 species
GGUUAAGCGACUAAGCGUACACGGUGGAUGCCCUGGCAGUCAGAGGCGAUGAAGGACGUGCUAAUCUGCGAAAAGCGCCGGCGAGGUGAUAUGAACCCUUGACCCGGCGAUGUCCGAAUGGGGAAACCCAGUGCAAUCCGUUGCACUAUCGUUAACUGAAUACAUAGGUUAACGAGGCGAACCGGGGGAACUGAAACAUCUAAGUACCCCGAGGAAAAGAAAUCAACCGAGAUUCCCCCAGUAGCGGCGAGCGAACGGGGAGCAGCCCGGAGUCUGAAUCAGCUUGUGUGUUAGUGGAACGGUCUGGAAAGUCCGACGGUACAGGGUGAUAGUCCCGUACACGAAAGCACACAUGCUGUGAACUCGAAGAGUAGGGCGGGACACGUGGUAUCCUGUCUGAAUAUGGGGGGACCAUCCUCCAAGGCUAAAUACUCCUGACUGACCGAUAGUGAACCAGUACCGUGAGGGAAAGGCGAAAAGAACCCCGGCGAGGGGAGUGAAAAAGAACCUGAAACCGUGUACGUACAAGCAGUGGGAGCCUCUUUAUGGGGUGACUGCGUACCUUUUGUAUAAUGGGUCAGCGACUUAUAUUCUGUAGCAAGGUUAACCGUAUAGGGGAGCCGAAGGGAAACCGAGUCUUAACUGGGCGUUAAGUUGCAGGGUAUAGACCCGAAACCCGGUGAUCUAGCCAUGGGCAGGUUGAAGGUUGGGUAACACUAACUGGAGGACCGAACCGACUAAUGUUGAAAAAUUAGCGGAUGACCUGUGGCUGGGGGUGAAAGGCCAAUCAAACCGGGAGAUAGCUGGUUCUCCCCGAAAGCUAUUUAGGUAGCGCCUCGUGAACUCAUCUUCGGGGGUAGAGCACUGUUUCGGCUAGGGGGCCAUCCCGGCUUACCAACCCGAUGCAAACUACGAAUACCGAAGAAUGUUAUCACGGGAGACACACGGCGGGUGCUAACGUCCGUCGUGAAGAGGGAAACAACCCAGACCGCCAGCUAAGGUCCCAAAGUCAUGGUUAAGUGGGAAACGAUGUGGGAAGGCACAGACAGCCAGGAUGUUGGCUUAGAAGCAGCCAUCAUUUAAAGAAAGCGUAAUAGCUCACUGGUCGAGUCGGCCUGCGCGGAAGAUGUAACGGGGCUAAACCAUGCACCGAAGCUGCGGCAGCGACGCUUAUGCGUUGUUGGGUAGGGGAGCGUUCUGUAAGCCGUUGAAGGUGUGCUGUGAGGCAUGCUGGAGGUAUCAGAAGUGCGAAUGCUGACAUAAGUAACGAUAAAGCGGGUGAAAAGCCCGCUCGCCGGAAGACCAAGGGUUCCUGUCCAACGUUAAUCGGGGCAGGGUGAGUCGACCCCUAAGGCGAGGCCGAAAGGCGUAGUCGAUGGGAAACAGGUUAAUAUUCCUGUACUUGGUGUUACUGCGAAGGGGGGACGGAGAAGGCUAUGUCAGCCGGGCGACGGUUGUCCCGGUUUAAGCAUGUAGGCGGAGGUUCCAGGUAAAUCCGGUACCUUAUUAACGCUGAGGUGUGAUGACGAGGCACUACGGUGCUGAAGUGAUAAAUGCCCUGCUUCCAGGAAAAGCCUCUAAGCAUCAGGUAACACGAAAUCGUACCCCAAACCGACACAGGUGGUCAGGUAGAGAAUACCAAGGCGCUUGAGAGAACUCGGGUGAAGGAACUAGGCAAAAUGGUGCCGUAACUUCGGGAGAAGGCACGCUGAUGUGUAGGUGAAGCCCCUGCGGGUGGAGCUGAAAUCAGUCGAAGAUACCAGCUGGCUGCAACUGUUUAUUAAAAACACAGCACUGUGCAAACACGAAAGUGGACGUAUACGGUGUGACGCCUGCCCGGUGCCGGAAGGUUAAUUGAUGGGGUUAGCGGCAACGCGAAGCUCUUGAUCGAAGCCCCGGUAAACGGCGGCCGUAACUAUAACGGUCCUAAGGUAGCGAAAUUCCUUGUCGGGUAAGUUCCGACCUGCACGAAUGGCGUAAUGAUGGCCAGGCUGUCUCCACCCGAGACUCAGUGAAAUUGAACUCGCUGUGAAGAUGCAGUGUACCCGCGGCAAGACGGAAAGACCCCGUGAACCUUUACUAUAGCUUGACACUGAACACUGGUCCUUGAUGUGUAGGAUAGGUGGGAGGCUUUGAAGCGUGGACGCCAGUCUGCGUGGAGCCAACCUUGAAAUACCACCCUUUAAUGGCUGGUGUUCUAACGUAGACCCGUAAUCCGGGUUGCGGACAGUGUCUGGUGGGUAGUUUGACUGGGGCGGUCUCCUCCCAAAGAGUAACGGAGGAGCACGAAGGUUGGCUAAUCCUGGUCGGACAUCAGGAGGUUAGUGCAAUGGCAUAAGCCAGCUUGACUGCGAGCGUGACGGCGCGAGCAGGUGCGAAAGCAGGUCAUAGUGAUCCGGUGGUUCUGAAUGGAAGGGCCAUCGCUCAACGGAUAAAAGGUACUCCGGGGAUAACAGGCUGAUACCGCCCAAGAGUUCAUAUCGACGGCGGUGUUUGGCACCUCGAUGUCGGCUCAUCACAUCCUGGGGCUGAAGUAGGUCCCAAGGGUAUGGCUGUUCGCCAUUUAAAGUGGUACGCGAGCUGGGUUUAGAACGUCGUGAGACAGUUCGGUCCCUAUCUGCCGUGGGCGCUGGAGAAUUGAGGGGGGCUGCUCCUAGUACGAGAGGACCGGAGUGGACGCAUCACUGGUGUUCGGGUUGUCAUGCCAAUGGCACUGCCCGGUAGCUAAAUGCGGAAGAGAUAAGUGCUGAAAGCAUCUAAGCACGAAACUUGCCCCGAGAUGAGUUCUCCCUGAGACUUUAAGUCUCCUGAAGGAACGUUGAAGACGACGACGUUGAUAGGUCGGGUGUGUAAGCGCAGCGAUGCGUUGAGCUAACCGAUACUAAUGAACCGUGAGGCUUAACCUU